GUAUUUUGAAUUAAGUAUUCAUAAUAUUUUUCAGACAAAGUGAUUCAAAACUGUAGGUUGGUGUAAGUGUUGAAACCCGUACAAAGACAAGUUUCAACACAACAUUGCACACAAGGUGAGUACUAUUUUUAAAAAGUGCAGUAGAACACUUAUUAUGAAUGAUCCUUCCGCAGGUUCACCUACGGAAA
rnacentral:misc_RNA from 1 species